AUGCAUGAGUGGACACACUCCUGGCCUGUCAAUCACACGCAGAGGAUCUGCUCAGCGCUUUAUUUUGGAACAGAAGUCGGAUGUUGCUUUUCUGCUGACUUGACAGCGAUGUGCGGGCAGGAGACGCAGUGUCACCAGAGUUACUACAGCAUCACACUGUUCCAGCAACAAAGCAACAGACAUCUCACAGUCAGAAAACCUGUGAUAUUCUCUCUCUCUCUCUCUCUCUCUCUCUCUCUCUCUCUGCAGCACAGAUCACAUCUAUGUUUUAUUAAAGCCACAAUCAGAAAAUUGCCGGCAUGUGAUUAACUUCCCCUCUGCAUUAUUACAGCCAGCUCCAGCACAAAUGUCAAGAGUGAGUGUUGUUGAUCCUUGAACACAGCAGCACUCCCAGCACUCCCAGCGCUCCCUGCGCUCCCGGGCUGCUCGGACUCCCUCUGGGGCCACGCAGGGCAGUAACGCUCAUUAAACUGUGAGGCACUUUGGAUGAAAGCGUCGGGCUGGAGGCUUAAUGUCCUCUGUAUGCAGCUCACAGAAUCCCCGCAACAUCCUUAGCAUUUCACUCACGCUCCUAAACUUUAGUGGGAUAAAGGAGACAGAGAUGCUUCAGGGGCGGGCGAGGGAACGUGAUCCUGAUGACACCGAGCGUGGCUUGUAUAUAUAUAAAGAUAAUUAGAAAAGAUGAUGGCAACUGCCUGUCAGAGCAGAUGUUGUUUGGGCUCGUCGGUUAUGACAUAAAUCACCUUUUUACAGGCUUUAAAGCACCAGCGACACUUCCAGGGAGACACUCUCUGUCAGUAGCAGCUCCACAUGGCCGUACAGGGCUACAGUCAGCAGCCAGUGAUGCCCGCAUGGGGCUUUGCAAGCGCACAGGAGCAAGUGCGCGCAACAAACACGCACAAAGCGCGCCGUACACAAACACAGCAGAACUGUAAAGGAAAUGUCUCUUACCUUCUGUUCUACUGCCAGCAGACCGCACACGAAGCGAUAAGCAUAGUAUCUGAUGUUAGUGUGAAAGACUGGGAGAGAAAACUGUCCUCGGUACUGCGCUCCGCCGCUCGGUCCCCGCUGCUCGCCUCCCUCUCUCUCUCUC
rnacentral:lncRNA from 15 species